rnacentral:rRNA from 1 species
UACAGAGGCCUCGAGCGUUAGGCGGAAUCACUGGGCUUAAAGCGUGUGUAGGCGGACUUCUAAGUACCUUGUGAAAUCCCACGGCUUACCCGUGGAACGGCUGGGUAUACUGGUUGUCUUGAGCCACUUAGGGGCUACCGGAACAAAUGGUGGAGCGGUGAAAUGCGUAGAUAUCAUUUGGAACGCCAAUGGUGAAAACAGGUAGCUGGGAGUGUGCUGACGCUGAGACACGAAAGCCAGGGGAGCGAACGUG